UGAACGCUGGCGGCGUGCUUAACACAUAGCAAGUCGAACGAAGCACCUUAAUUGAUUUCUUCGGAAUGAAGUUAUUGUGACUGAGUGGCGACGGGUGAGUAACGCGUGGGUAACCUGCCUCACACAGGGGGAUAACAGUUGGAAACAGCUGCUAAUACCGCAUAAGCGCACAGUACCGCAUGGUACGGUGUGAAAAACUCCGGUGGUGUGAGAUGGACCCGCGUCUGAUUAGCUAGUGGCAGGGCAACGGCCUACCAAGGCGACGAUCAGUAGCCGACCUGAGAGGGUGACCGGCCACAUUGGGACUGAGACACGGCCCAAACUCCUACGGGAGGCAGCAGUGGGGAAUAUUGCACAAUGGGGGAAACCCUGAUGCAGCGACGCCGCGUGAGCGAAGAAGUAUUUCGGUAUGUAAAGCUCUAUCAGCAGGGAAGAAAAAAAUGACGGUACCUGACUAAGAAGCCCCGGCUAACUACGUG
rnacentral:rRNA from 1 species